AUCCUGCGCGGAGAGGAGCCGGUGCAUUCCUGGCGCGAUCGCCUUUUAUUGAAGCUUUUAAUUAAAGGGGCCAGUUGGCGAGCCCCUGAAACAACCGCCAAAACCCCCAAAAGAGAAAAAUAAACGCUGUAGCCUUCGGGAACGGUUGUUUCGGCUCCUGUUCUGUGGGCGGCUGAGGACCGCCGGCUGCCGGGCUCGGAGAAGAACAGUGCAGAGACAGUACAGGACUUUCACAAAGGUGCAGAGCUCCCAAGUGACACGGGCAGAGUUUGAACCGGUCUCCUGGACCCUAGGUGGAAGCUCUUAGGAAAGAUCACCCAAGUUUCCAGUCCUUGGAAUCGACUUCUGAGACACACGAGAAAAUGAGCUUCUUUAUUUUUCCUUCCAAUGGUAUUCCUGAAAAGAAAAAGAGAAAUAUUAUCUUCCGACAUGCCCACCUGAAUUCC
rnacentral:lncRNA from 1 species